AAGAUGGCGACCGGCGGCACGGGUGAGUAACACGUAUCCAACCUGCCGAUAACUCUGGAAUAGCCUUUCGAAAGAAAGAUUAAUACCGGAUGGCAUACGAAUAUCGCAUGAUAUUUUUAUUUAAAGAAUUUCGGUUAUCGAUGGGGAUGCGUUCCAUUAGUUUGUUGGCGGGGUAACGGCCCACCAAGACAACGAUGGAUAGGGGUUCUGAGAGGAAGGUCCCCCACAUUGGAACUGAGACACGGUCCAA
rnacentral:rRNA from 1 species